CGACGUCGCGUGGGAGAGUCCUCCCCGUCACACGGUGAGGCGCCGAAGGGGCAUACUCCCCACCAAGCUCUCAGGCGCACCGGACCACGCGGAGCAG
rnacentral:ncRNA from 2 species